rnacentral:rRNA from 1 species
AUGGCCGCUCCCGGCCAACUGCUCCCCUUGACCCGCUCGCUUCUGCCUCCCUCCGCUCCCCCCUUCCUCUCCGGCCGCCGUCGCCUGCCUCCUCCCGCCCGCGCUCAAACCUCGCGUCCGCCUCCAUGGCAGCCCCGCCGCCUCGCGUGUCCUUCUCCUCUUCAGCCGCUCCGCCCUCUGGCCGGGAACAGGACCCGCCCCGUUGCUGCGCCUCCUGGGGCCUCCGCCGCCGGUGGAGGCGAGGCGCAGGCUCUGGCGGCGGAGUUCAUGACGUCUGAGAGGGUGAAGGUGGCGGCGAUGCUGGGGCUGGCCCUCGCGCUCUGCAACGCCGACCGCGUCGUCAUGUCCGUGGCCAUCGUCCCGCUCUCCCAGGCGUACGGAUGGACCCCUUCCUUCGCCGGCGUCGUGCAGUCGUCCUUCCUUUGGGGAUAUCUGAUAUCACCUAUAAUCGGUGGAGCGCUUGUUGACUACUACGGCGGGAAGCGAGUCAUGGCGUAUGGUGUGGCUUUAUGGUCCUUCGCUACAUUCCUUUCCCCUUGGGCAGCUGCACGCUCACUUUGGUUGUUCAUCUCAACUAGAAUUCUGCUCGGUGUUGCAGAAGGAGUGGCAUUGCCAUGUAUGAACAAUAUGGUGCUGAGGUGGUUUCCUCGUACUGAACGAUCUAGUGCUGUGGGGAUCGCGAUGGCUGGCUUUCAGCUUGGAAAUACCAUCGGCUUACUUCUUUCCCCUAUUAUCAUGUCACGAACUGGAACAUUUGGACCCUUUGUGAUUUUUGGUUUGUUUGGAUUUCUGUGGGUGCUGGUGUGGAUAUCUGCUAUAACGGGAACUCCUGGUGAACAUCCUCAAAUAUCAGCAUAUGAACUAGAGUAUAUUACAAAGGGUCAGAAAUUGGUGAAACCUCAAGUUCAAAGUGAAAAACUAAGAAAGAUCCCUCCGUUUAGAAACCUACUUUCUAAAUGGCCGACCUGGGCUUUAAUUUCUGCAAAUGCUAUGCAUAGCUGGGGCUAUUUCGUCAUCCUUUCAUGGAUGCCAGUGUAUUUCAAAACCAUAUUUCAUGUCAAUCUGAGAGAAGCUGCAUGGUUUAGUGCAAUUCCCUGGGUCAUGAUGGCAGUUUUAGGUUAUGUGGCUGGUGUUGUAUCAGACGCACUUAUCCGGAAUGGCACAAGCAUUACUUUAACUCGGAAGAUAAUGCAGACAAUUGGCUUUGUGGGUCCUGGUAUUGCUCUUAUUGGUUUGAAUGCAGCAAAGAGUCCAGCCAUUGCUUCAGCUUGGCUAACUAUUGCUGUUGGUUUGAAGUCCUUUGGUCACUCAGGAUUCCUUGUAAAUUUUCAGGAGAUCGCCCCACAAUAUGCUGGAGUGCUACAUGGAAUGGCAAAUACGGCGGGAACAUUUGCUGCCAUUUUAGGAACUAUUGGAGCAGGAUUCUUUGUUGAUCGGAUGGGUUCUUUCCGUGGAUUUUUAACAUUAACAUCACUUCUAUAUUUCAGCAGUGCCCUGUUCUGGGAUAUCUUUGCUACUGGAGAGCGUGUUGAUUUUGAUGGCAGUAGCUAG